GGCGUCUUUUUGGCAUCUGUUUUUACCCGAUGAAGACUUGGCAUCCUAAUAUAUCGCCGUUCACAAUCCAUCGUCACACAACAUGUGGCAGUCAGGUUUUCCCCCUAUCAUCAAAUGAACCGAACCGAACCGAUGGGCAGCUGCCUGUAAGAACAUACAACUGUGACAUUGACAGCCAACCGUAGCGACUCAGCUGAUGACUGAGGUGUCAGCGGCGAAUCUGGAUGUUUCCAGUUCCAAAGAGAUGACUGGCUCUGCGACCGCUCACCAGUAAGGACACCUGUUAUCGAGGAGCUUUCCUACAGAGACAUGGAAACCACCUCACAGAUAGAUGAGGAGGGACAGCAGGUGCUUCCUGAUAAAAACCCAGCUGUCAGCAAAAGCACCGCCAUCACUGUAGCUGGAGAAUGAAGUUUGGCAUACUCAGCCUGUCUAUUAGCAUGAACAGCAGACGGAAGGCAUAAACAGCAAAAUCUCUGAAAUGUUAAAAGGCUGAACAUAUGUGGCUCUAAUGAAUUCAACCCAGAAAACCCGUCAGUCCAGAACUACAGGGCGCUCCAUCAGCUGGGUACAAAGAACAGAUCAGGAAAUUCAUGCUUUAUCUAUGAAAAACAGAAAAUUAUAACACUUUUAAUUAAUGCAGUAAGAUUUCUGACAACAUCCUGAUAUCUAAUUAGAUCACAUUAACAACUUACUGUAUUUUUACAUUAUCAGCUGCAGCUUUAGUUCAUAGCUUGCCGAUGGGACCUCUAGGGGGGUUCUGUGUGUUUUUACAGUAAACCUGUUGGCAUUAAUAAUUUUUAAAUUGCAGACUAGCCACAGUGUGGAUAGUAACAGCCAUUGUUGUCCUGGAUCUUUUAGUGUUUGGCAAUUGCUCAGUUCUCUCAGCAGGUUUCUAAAUCAACUAGAUCCCUGUGUGGAUCGAGGCUCACGAAACCUGCAAGGAUUCAGGCUGAAUCUAGUUUUAGAACCGAACAUAAAGCAGUUAUUUGUAAAAUGCUUUGUCAUUCAAAAUUC